UGGGGAAUAUUGCACAAUGGGCGAAAGCCUGAUGCAGCAACGCCGCGUGAGUGAUGAAGGCCUUCGGGUUGUAAAGCUCUGUCUUCUGGGACGAUAAUGACGGUACCAGAGGAGGAAGCCACGGCUAACUACGUGCCAGCAGCCGCGGUAAUACGUAGGUGGCAAGCGUUGUCCGGAUUUACUGGGCGUAAAGGAUGCGUAGGCGGAUACUUAAGUCAGAUGUGAAAAUCCCGGGCUUAACUUGGGAACUGCAUUUGAAACUGGGUAUCUAGAGUGCGGGAGAGGAAAGUGGAAUUCCUAGUGUAGCGGUGAAAUGCGCAGAGAUUAGGAAGAACACCAGUGGCGAAGGCGACUUUCUGGACCGUAACUGACGCUGAGGCAUGAAAGCGUGGGUAGCAAACA
rnacentral:rRNA from 1 species